UCACGCGCUUCUUCUUAACAAUAAACAUCAAUUUUAAGUCAUGGAUUCAUUGGCGACGAGAGCUGUCAAAGUUUGCUGUCUGAACCUCGGCAUUUAAUUUUGCUGUCAUUUAUUUCUGCAGUAACAAUGGUGAUGAAUAAAGCUACAUGUAUUCUGUGGUCCAUGAGAUAAUCAUGGUGAACAACAGGAUGGAAUCAAAUCAUGGUUUCUAUGACAGCGGUUGUAGUUCACCAGUACCAGAAACCAGAGAUAAAAACGGAUUUGAAGUUUGGCCAAAUGAGGAGAAUUGGGUACACAUACAAGCUGCUGAGUUGAUACUACAGACUUUAAAACAGUCAUAUGUUGUGGAGGAAUUAAAAGAUGGAUUGCUUCGUUUACAGAAUCUACAAAUAUUUACUCAUACAGAGGUUCAGAAAUAUUUGGAGAAUAAUCAAGUACAUCUAUUGGUUUUAUCUGUAAUGAAACAUUUAUCGGCUUUUGAUGAUAUACAAUUAAUCGGUUUGCAGCUUCUGUGUUCCUUUAUAUCUCACAGUAGAAUAUUAGAAGAUAGUAUUAAAAACUCUGAUACACAUAG